GUGGCUGGUAGCUUGCUCUCGGUAACUGGGUUUUCCUCGUUGGCCUUUGUUUUCUGCGUGAGAUUUUCUCGUUUUUAGAAGACCGCGUGAGCUGGCGCUCGCUGGUGCUUUUUCUUGUGUCUGUGCGCUGGUCCUGGAGCUUGUUCUCGGGACCUGGGCCCAGCACUCUUGGUUUUCCGCCCAGGGCUGGCACAGUCCUGCCUGAACCACAGCCCCGCUAUUGGCUUUUGGAUGGUCAGUUGGAGGGUUGAGGCAUCUGAGCGCACAAGGAACCGGGCAGUGUUCUCGUACUGUGGUCCUGCUUAAAGGAGCUGGCUAGGAUGAGACAAGGGCCGCCAUACAGUCCCAUCAGUGCAGUAAUGCUUCAGCAUCUGGUUACCUAUCCUGAAGUGUUCCUGUAUCUUCCAGGAUGAAUACAGGUCUUUGUGAUAAUUUUCUCCAUCUUAAGGAGCUUCAUCUUGUUCCUGUAUAAAAUAGAACAAUCCAGAUGCCUCUGGUAAUAGAGGUUGUUUACCAGAGAUGACUGCUGAUUUCAAGAACCGGAUUUACGCAGAGGCUGGGAAUGAUGAGGGGAGUUAAACAUGUUGCCUGCUCAACUGUAGGUUGCUAUCAUUGAUCUGAAGGAUGAGACCAUGUGAAUAGGAGCCUCAAGCUUUGGAGAAUACUAAAGGAAGAUUUCAGACUGUUUUCCAAUGCAGUUUCAACUUGCUUCAUUCUCAUUUCCUUAAUAAAGUUGCAUUUCUAUUGUGA